rnacentral:lncRNA from 10 species
GAAAGAGAAGCUCCAGCAUUCUAAUGGAGCUCCGCCUUCAGCACAGGUGUUUCUGGAUGAGAUUAGUAUUUCAGUCGGUGGACUCAGAAAAGUACCUAGCCCUGCCCAAUGUGAAUGGACAUCAUCCAAGCCUCUGAGAGCCUGAAUAGAAAAAAAAGAGGCAGAGGACGGAGAAAUUUGCCCCUUUUGCUUCCUGCCUGCCUUCUGAGCUGGGACAUGGGUCUUCUCCUGCCUUUGCACUGGGAUUUAUACCAUCGGCUUCUCUGGUUCUCAGGCAUUGGGACUCAGACCAAAUUACAUCACCAGCUUUCUCCUGAAUGUUCAGAUUGUGGAACUUCUCAGCCUCCUUACUCAUGUGAGCCAACUCCUCAGAAUAAAUGUCUUACUGGGAAGCUGGGCAUGGGGGCUCACGCGUGUAACCCAGCUAUUUUGGAGGUCAAGGCGGAAGGAUUGCUUGAGGCCAGGAGUUCGAGGCUGCAGUGAGCUAUAAUUGUGCCACAGCAUUCCAGC